AGUUUAAAUAAAGGCUUUAAAUGUUGUUUUUCUUGUUUUAGAGAAACGCAAAUAUAGUCUUUAUUUUGGGAUUUCUAUUAAAA